AGGUGUGAAUUGAUACUUGAUAUCUACAGCUUCAUAGCUUACAUGCUUAGUUUUUUUUUUCAUUUUUUGAUGAACGAUGUCAAUCAAAUAUACUGUAUUUGAACUUUUCGAGGCACCUGUAAAAAUCAUGGAUCUUCAGUGACUGGUCCCUCAGAAAUAAGUGCUAAGUCAGUCACAGAGAAUUUAUGAUUGGAACUAAAGCCUGUCAGUGCAUGGUAAUUUUUUUUUCUUUCUUCAAAUCUUUCCAUAUUUGAUCAACAUGGUGUAUUGGUAUAAAUUAUGGGCUAUGGUUGGAGCGACGGAUGCGGUGAACAGCGUUUAUUCCUGAUAGAUACAAAUGCAGGUACUUUAAAAUAUGAAAUAAUUAAAGAGCAAUGAUGAAACAAUUCUUUGACGUUGAUUGAUUCGUUCAAUUUUAUAUGAAUAUGGUGACUUGUCUGUUACGAGCAGAUGGUCAUGGCAGGCUUCGAUAUCCUAUAAAACUGGAAGCUAUCUAGACAGUAAUGCAACAGAAAUCUGGGUAGAGACACUUUGCCACAUCAAGCUACGAGAAAGUAAUCAUCAUCUCACAGAAUUCUACUCAAAGACCGCAUCGAAAUCAGUAGCCGUUAUCUAACGCAGUCAUGAAGUUACUCAUCUUAGCACUGGUGGUGAUGAUGGUGGUUUGUGUUCAUGCUGAUUCCAGUGGAGACUCAUCAUCUAAGUCUGAACCUGAAAGCGUUGAAUCGGGAGACAUGGUGACCGAUGACGUCGAGGAAAACCUUGGUCGAUGUACGGAGGAAUUCAACCGUUGUGGAAUUCCGUGCAAAGCUGCAUGUUUGGAGCAUCUCCGACAUGGCGGGAGCCCCUUUCGUAACGUCUAGUGGAACUUGUGAAACAACACAUCAUCAUCGUACAAUCAACGUCACUCUCAUUUCAUCCAUGACAACGGAAGCUCACCGUUAAUGUGACAGCCG